rnacentral:rRNA from 1 species
AGUGAACGCUGGCGGUAGGCCUAACACAUGCAAGUCGAACGGCAGCACAGUAAGAGCUUGCUCUUACGGGUGGCGAGUGGCGGACGGGUGAGGAAUACAUCGGAAUCUACUUUUUCGUGGGGGAUAACGUAGGGAAACUUACGCUAAUACCGCAUACGACCUACGGGUGAAAGCAGGGGAUCUUCGGACCUUGCGCGAUUGAAUGAGCCGAUGUCGGAUUAGCUAGUUGGCGGGGUAAAGGCCCACCAAGGCGACAAUCCGUAGCUGGUCUGAGAGGAUGAUCAGCCACACUGGAACUGAGACACGGUCUAGACUCCUACGGGAGGCAGCAGUGGGGAAUAUUGGACAAUGGGCGCAAGCCUGAUCCAGCCAUACCGCGUGGGUGAAGAAGGCCUUCGGGUUGUAAAGCCCUUUUGUUGGGAAAGAAAAGCAGCAGGUUAAUACCCCGCUGUUCUGACGGUACCCAAAGAAUAAGCACCGGCUAACUUCGUG